UGAUAGAGGUGCGGGUUUCAAGAGUAUUUUUUCUGCAACAGUUUUGGGAAGACUGCAGAAGAAAAAAAGGGGAAGCCGCCGAAGGAUCGGCACAUCCCAUGUGCAGGUUCUGGGACGCAGCAGAAGAUACUGCGGACUGUCACAACAGUGGAGCGCUAUCAG
rnacentral:ncRNA from 1 species